AUUGAACGCUGGCGGCAGGCCUAACACAUGCAAGUCGAGCGGAUGAAGGGAGCUUGCUCCUGGAUUCAGCGGCGGACGGGUGAGUAAUGCCUAGGAAUCUGCCUGGUAGUGGGGGAUAACGUCCGGAAACGGGCGCUAAUACCGCAUACGUCCUGAGGGAGAAAGUGGGGGAUCUUCGGACCUCACGCUAUCAGAUGAGCCUAGGUCGGAUUAGCUAGUUGGUGGGGUAAAGGCCUACCAAGGCGACGAUCCGUAACUGGUCUGAGAGGAUGAUCAGUCACACUGGAACUGAGACACGGUCCAGACUCCUACGGGAGGCAGCAGUGGGGAAUAUUGGACAGUGGGCGAAAGCCUGAUCCAGCCAUGCCGCGUGUGUGAAGAAGGUCUUCGGAUUGUAAAGCACUUUAAGUUGGGAGGAAGGGCAGUAAGUUGAUACCUUGCUGUUUUGACGUUACCAACAGAAUAAGCACCGGCUAACUUCGUG
rnacentral:rRNA from 1 species